rnacentral:rRNA from 1 species
GACGAACGCUGGCGGCGUGCUUAACACAUGCAAGUCGAACGGAAAGGCCUCUUUCGGGGGGUACUCGAGUGGCGAACGGGUGAGUAACACGUGAGUAACCUGCCCUUGACUUUGGGAUAACUUCAGGAAACUGGGGCUAAUACCGGAUAGGAGCUCCUGCUGCAUGGUGGGGGUUGGAAAGUUUCGGCGGUUGGGGAUGGACUCGCGGCUUAUCAGCUUGUUGGUGGGGUAGUGGCUUACCAAGGCUUUGACGGGUAGCCGGCCUGAGAGGGUGACCGGCCACAUUGGGACUGAGAUACGGCCCAGACUCCUACGGGAGGAAGCAGUGGGGAAUAUUGCACAAUGGGUGGAAGCCUGAUGCAGAAACGCCGUGGGCGGGAUGACGGCCUUCGGGUUGUAAACCGCUUUCGCUCAUGACGAAGCUUUGUGUGACGGUAGUGGGUAAAGAAGCACCGGCUAACUACGUG